AUAAGGAGUACUUCCAACCACUACAUAGAGGACAGCUGAGCAAAGUCAAUUGCAGUUUAAUCUGCAUUUAACAUCAGUGGGAAAGAUUUCAAGGCAGCUUGCAAAGGUGCUGAACAGACACCUGGAGAGUGCCAGGUCUCACCAGAGACAUCCUGAGCAACCCAAUGUCACCUUUACCAUAAAUGAGGCACUGUGAUAAUCUCCCUGAAACUCUUUCCAGAACUCAGCUGCAACAUCCACACAAUGGGACUUUGGCAGCAUUCCGCAACUGUUGGCAUUUCUGGGCUGUCUGGCCUCAUCAGAGAGGUCAAAACUUAGCCAAUGAUACGACCCUGGCCAUCUAAUGGGCUCCAUGCACUGAAGUACACAAGGAGAAAGUCUCUGUUAGUUUGAAGACCCUCAUGUCAUGUGGUCUUUGUAUUUAUUAUGGUACAAAAUAAAGAAUCCUGUGGAAUUUU